rnacentral:rRNA from 1 species
GACGAACGCUGGCGGCGUGCCUAAUACAUGCAAGUAGAACGCUGAAGGAGGAGCUUGCUUCUCUGGAUGAGUUGCGAACGGGUGAGUAACGCGUAGGUAACCUGCCUGGUAGCGGGGGAUAACUAUUGGGAACGAUAGCUAAUACCGCAUAACAGUAGAUAUCGCAUGAUAUCUACUUGAAAGGUGCAAUUGCAUCACUACCAGAUGGACCUGCGUUGUAUUAGCUAGUUGGUGAGGUAACGGCUCACCAAGGCGACGAUACAUAGCCGACCUGAGAGGGUGAUCGGCCACACUGGGACUGAGACACGGCCCAGACUCCUACGGGAGGCAGCAGUAGGGAAUCUUCGGCAAUGGACGGAAGUCUGACCGAGCAACGCCGCGUGAGUGAAGAAGGUUUUCGGAUCGUAAAGCUCUGUUGUAAGAGAAGAACGAGUGUGAGAGUGGAAAGUUCACACUGUGACGGUAUCUUACCAGAAAGGGACGGCUAACUACGUG